AACUGCGAGUGAAGCGGGAAAAGCUCAAAUUUAAAAUCUGGUGGUCUUUGGCCAUCCGAGUUGUAAUUUAGAGAAGCGUCUUCCGCGCCGGACCAUGCACAAGUCUCCUGGAAUGGAGCGUCAUAGAGGGUGAGAAUCCCGUCUUUGGCAUGGAUGCCCGGUGCUUCUGUGAUGCGCUCUCAAAGAGUCGAGUUGUUUGGGAAUGCAGCUCAAAAUGGGUGGUGAACUCCAUCUAAAGCUAAAUAUUGGCGAGAGACCGAUAGCGAACAAGUACCGUGAGGGAAAGAUGAAAAGCACUUUGGAAAGAGAGUGAAACAGUACGUGAAAUUGUUGAAAGGGAAACGCUUGAAGUCAGUCGCGUCGACCGAGACUCAGCCUUGCCUUGGCUUGGUGUACUUCUCGGCCCGACGGGUCAGCGUCAAUUUUGCCCCUCGGAUAAUGGCAAGGGAAAGGUGGCACCUUCACGGGUGUGUUAUAGUCUCCUGUCGCAUGCGAGGGCUGGGAUUGAGGAACUCAGCGCGCACCUUGGUGUCGGGGCUUCU
rnacentral:rRNA from 1 species